CCCUAAACUUAGAUAUUUAAUAAACAAAAAUAUCCGCCAGAGAACUACGAGCAAAACGCUUAAAACUCUAAGGACUUGGCGGUACCUCAAACCCCCCUAGAGGAGCCUGUUCUAUAAUCGAUAAUCCACGAUUCACCCAACCAUCUCUUGCCAAUGCCGCCUAUAUACCACCGUCACCAGCUUACCCUAUGAAGGCACAAAAGUAGGCAAAAUAACCAAACAGUUAACAAGUCAGGUCAAGGUGUAGCUAAUUGAGAUGGAAGAAAUGGGCUACAUUUUCUACACUAGAAAUAACUUACGGAAAGGAACUAUGAAAUAAGUCCUACAAGCAGGAUUUAGCAGUAAACCUGGAUCAGAAUGCCUAAUUUAAACCGGUCCUGAGGUGCGC
rnacentral:rRNA from 1 species